rnacentral:rRNA from 1 species
UACGGAGGGUGCAAGCGUUAUCCGGAUUCACUGGGUUUAAAGGGUGCGUAGGUGGGCAAGAAAGUCAGGGGUGAAAUCUCCGGGCUUAACCCGGAAACUGCCAUUGAUACUAUUUGUCUUGAAUACUGUGGAGGUCAGCGGAAUAUGUCAUGUAGCGGUGAAAUGCUUAGAUAUGACAUAGAACACCAAUUGCGAAGGCAGCUGGCUACACAAAUAUUGACACUGAGGCACGAAAGCGUGGGGAUCAAACAGG